CCUCCUUAAAAUAAAAAUCGUCUGAGGUAGGCGUUCACACGAAUUAUUUGUUUUACCCAAAUUAGUUUUUUACUAAGAGUACGGUGAGUUUUUUAACAUUUUUAUAAGUUCAAUCAAGUCGCAUUAAUUAAAUCAUUUAUGUGGUUUAAAUUAAUGUGCAAAUGUCACCAAAUCCGUCGUGUUUUUAUAAAUACAUUUAUUUGGUGAACAUACUGCAAAGUAAUUUUGGCGUUAUGUAAUAUAGAUAUACUUGAAAGAUCUUUAUAUCAGGCAUUAAAUUGCUUGAUGUAAUAUGGUCAAGUAACUAAGCGCAUACGGUGGAUGC
rnacentral:misc_RNA from 1 species